GAUGAACGCUGGCGGCGUGCCUAAUACAUGCAAGUCGAGCGAACGGACGAGAAGCUUGCUUCUCUGAUGUUAGCGGCGGACGGGUGAGUAACACGUGGAUAACCUACCUAUAAGACUGGGAUAACUUCGGGAAACCGGAGCUAAUACCGGAUAAUAUUUUGAACCGCAUGGUUCAAAAGUGAAAGACGGUCUUGCUGUCACUUAUAGAUGGAUCCGCGCUGCAUUAGCUAGUUGGUAAGGUAACGGCUUACCAAGGCAACGAUGCAUAGCCGACCUGAGAGGGUGAUAGGCCGCACUGGAACUGGGACACGGUCCAGACUCCUACGGGAGGCAGCAGUAGGGAAUCUUCCGCAAUGGGCGAAAGCCUGACGGAGCAACGCCGCGUGAGUGAUGAAGGUCUUCGGAUCGUAAAAAUCGGUUAUGAGGGAAGAACAUAUGUGUAAGUAACUGUGCACAUCUUGACGGUACCUAAUCAGAAAGCAACGGCUAACUACGUG
rnacentral:rRNA from 1 species